GGGUGCGAUCAUGCCAGCACUAAUGCACCGGAUCCCAUCAGAACUCCGCAGUUAAGCGUGCUUGGGCGAGAGUAGUACUAGGAUGGGUGACAUUCCGGGAAGUCCUCGUGUUGCACCCC
rnacentral:rRNA from 2 species